rnacentral:rRNA from 1 species
AGUGAACGCUGGCGGCAGGCCUAAUACAUGCAAGUCGAACGGCAGCACAGCAGAGCUUGCUCUGUGGGUGGCGAGUGGCGGACGGGUGAGGAAUACAUGGGAAUCUGCCCAGUCGUGGGGGAUAACGUAGGGAAACUUACGCUAAUACCGCAUGCGCCCUUCGGGGGAAAGCCGGGGACCUUCGGGCCUGGCGCGAUUGGAUGAGCCCAUGUCGGAUUAGCUAGUUGGCGGGGUAAUGGCCCACCAAGGCGACGAUCCGUAGCUGGUCUGAGAGGAUGAUCAGCCACACUGGAACUGAGACACGGUCCAGACUCCUACGGGAGGCAGCAGUAGGGAAUAUUGGACAAUGGGCGCAAGGCCUGAUCCAGCCGAUGCCGCGUGAGUGAAGAAGGCCCUCGGGUUGUAAAGCUCUUUUGUCCGGAAAGAAAAGCG